CCAGCUUUGGCGCAAUUGGUUAGCGUGUUUGGCUGUUAACUGAAAGGAUGGUGGUUCGAGCCCACCCAGGGA
rnacentral:tRNA from 1 species